rnacentral:rRNA from 1 species
UACGUAGGCAGCAAGCGUUGUUCGGAGUUACUGGGCGUAAAGGGUGUGUAGGCGGUUCUUUAAGUUUGGUGUGAAAUCUCCCGGCUCAACUGGGAGGGUGCGCCGAAUACUGAGGGACUAGAGUACGGGAGAGGAAAGUGGAAUUCCUGGUGUAGCGGUGAAAUGCGUAGAUAUCAGGAGGAACACCGGUGGUGUAGACGGCUUUCUGGACCGUAACUGACGCUGAGACACGAAAGCGUGGGUAGCGAACAGG